UACGUAGGGUGCGAGCGUUGUCCGGAAUUAUUGGGCGUAAAGAGCUCGUAGGCGGCUCGUCGCGUCGUCCGUGAAAACCCGCAGCUUAACUGCGGGCUUGCGGUUGAUACGGGCGGGCUAGAGUUCGGUAGGGGAGACUGGAAUUCCUGGUGUAGCGGUGAAAUGCGCAGAUAUCAGGAGGAACACCGGUGGCGAAGGCGGGUCUCUGGGCCGAUACUGACGCUGAGGAGCGAAAGCGUGGGGAGCGAACAGG
rnacentral:rRNA from 1 species